UUCGUAGGGGGCAAGCGUUGUCCGGAAUCAUUGGGCGUAAAGAGCGUGUAGGCGGCUUUACAGGUCCGUUGUGAAAACUCGAGGCUCAACCUCGAGACGCCGGUGGAAACCGUAAAGCUAGAGUCCGGAAGAGGAGAGUGGAAUUCCUGGUGUAGCGGUGAAAUGCGCAGAUAUCAGGAGGAACACCCGUGGCGAAAGCGGCUCUCUGGGACGGUACUGACGCUGAGACGCGAAAGCGUGGGGAGCAAACAGG
rnacentral:rRNA from 1 species